GUAACGCAUAGGAAACUGCCCAGUAGUGGGGGAUAGCCCGGGGAAACCCGGAUUAAUACCGCAUACGUCCUUCGGGAGAAAGCAGGGGAUCUUCGGACCUUGCGCUAUUGGAUGUGCCUAUGUCGGAUUAGCUAGUUGGUGGGGUAAGAGCCUACCAAGGCGACGAUCCGUAGCUGGUCUGAGAGGAUGAUCAGCCACAUCGGGACUGAGACACGGCCCGAACUCCUACGGGAGGCAGCAGUGGGGAAUAUUGGACAAUGGGGGCAACCCUGAUCCAGCCAUGCCGCGUGUGUGAAGAAGGCUUUCGGGUUGUAAAGCACUUUCAGUGAGGAGGAAAAGUUAGUCCCUAAUACGGGCUAGCCUUGACGUUACUCACAGAAGAAGCACCGGCUAACUCCGUGCCAGCAGCCGCGGUAAUACGGAGGGUGCAAGCGUUAAUCGGAAUUACUGGGCGUAAAGCGCGCGU
rnacentral:rRNA from 1 species